UACGUAGGGGGCAAGCGUUGUCCGGAUUUACUGGGCGUAAAGAGCGUGUAGGCGGCCAAACAGGUCCGUUGUGAAAACUCUAGGCUCAACCUAGAGACGCCACCUGAUACUGCCGUGGCUAGAGUCCGGUAGGGGAGCAUGGAAUUCCUGGUGUAGCGGUGAAAUGCGCAGAUAUCAGGAGGAACACCAGUGGCGAAGGCGGUGCUCUGGGCCGGAACUGACGCUGAGGAGCGAAAGCGUGGGGAGCAAACAGG
rnacentral:rRNA from 1 species